CAGUCGCCGCGGGAAUACGGAGGGUGCAAGCGUUAAUCGGAAUUACUGGGCGUAAAGCGCACGCAGGCGGUUUGUUAAGUCAGAUGUGAAAUCCCCGGGCUCAACCUGGGAACUGCAUUUGAAACUGGCAAGCUAGAGUCUCGUAGAGGGGGGUAGAAUUCCAGGUGUAGCGGUGAAAUGCGUAGAGAUCUGGAGGAAUACCGGUGGCGAAGGCGGCCCCCUGGACAAAGACUGACGCUCAGGUGCGAAAGCGUGGGGAGCAAACAGGAUUAGAUACCCCAGUAGUCCCUGUCUCUUAUAC
rnacentral:rRNA from 1 species